CCCCUCGGCGCACGUUCUGCCGCGCGCAUCAGCCUGCAUCCCACAGCCGCGCCGAAUCCCGCGGCAGCGCCGCCAUCCUUCGCAUUCCUUCAAUCCUUCCAUCCUCCGCGGAUCCCCCAUCCUCGCGUGUCCCAGGGCUCCCUCCGCGCUCGCCUGCAGCCGCCCCGCAUACGCCCCAACCACGCAUCCCGCAGUCGCGCCGCGCAGGUCGAGGAGCUCUCCGUCGAGCGCGAGCACCUCGUCAAUGAGUUCUAGCUUCUACAGAGCCGCUUCCACAAGCACGAGAUCUGCUAGGCCCGCCUCCAGAAGAUGGAUGGAUUUGAUCAAACAGUGAAUGUGAAGGUUGUAAUGGCAACUAAUAGGGCAGAUACUCUAGAUCCUACUUUGUUGCGGCUAGGUAGACUUGACAGGAAAGUUGAGUUCCCUCUUCCUGAUUGGUGGCAUAAGAGGCUUGUGUUCCAAAUGAUGAAAUUUCCAUGGAUUGCUUCAGGUAUUGCUAUUAAGGUCUUUUUCAUCUCAUGCAAAUAACUAUUAAGCUGCUCAAAUUUCUUUAUUUGAUGGGCGGUUGCUUGGCACCCCAAAUGAACAGGUGUGGCCAGGUGUUGGCAAGUUGCUCAAUUAGUAUGUCGGUGGAAGCCGACAAAGCCACUCUUGUGCCCAGUCUUGACACUGAUGGUCACUACUCUUUCAAUAGUGAAUCUUGCAGCGUCUGAAGUACUCUUAAUUUUGUGCAAUGUAUGCAACUACUAACCUUUCAGAGAAACGCUAAGAUAUUGAUGUCAAUGAUAACAUAAGUUGUUCGUG